GCCCAGGUGGCGGAAUCGGUUUACGCGCAACACUUAAAAUGUUGUGGAGCUUGCUCCAUGUGGGUUCGAGUCCCACCCUGGGCA
rnacentral:tRNA from 1 species